rnacentral:rRNA from 1 species
GACGAACGCUGGCGGCGUGCUUAACACAUGCAAGUCGAACGGAGUGGCGAAAGGGUGAGUAACACGUGGGUGACCUGCCCUGCACUUCGGGAUAAGCCUGGGAAACUGGGUCUAAUACCGGAUAGUGGGGGAUGAGCCCGCGGCCUAUCGGCUUGUUGGUGGGGGAAUGGCCUACCAAGGCGGCGACGGGUAGCCGGCCUGAGGGGGUGGGCGGCCAGAUGGGGAGGGGGACACGGCCCAGACUCCUACGGGGGGCAGCAGUGGGGAAGAGUGCGCAAUGGGGGGAAGCCUGAUGCAGCGACGCCGCGUGGGGGAUGCCGGCCUUCAGGUUGUAAACUCCUUUCACCAUCGACGCGGUAGAUGGAGAAGAAGCACCGGCUAACUACGUGCCAGCAGCCGCGGUAAUUC